GGUUGGACGGUAUUUCUUAAUAUCGUUUUCAAGAACGAACUUCUUGGGUGGGAAGUC
rfam:Anaerocolumna xylanovorans DSM 12503 genome assembly, contig: EJ36DRAFT_scaffold00001.1